rnacentral:ncRNA from 1 species
UAGAACUAAAAGCUGAAUCAGCCAAAUGAGAGAGUAACGUCUUGAAGGGCUGUCGUUAAUACUCCGAAUUGCAUUGAUUUGAUUAAGCGGAUUAAUGUAAUAAGCUCGGUGAAGUCGGGUGAGAGUUACCGUAAUUAUACGAAAGUUAUCUUAGUAGGAUAAUGUAACCUAUAGCUCGGACGCCUGUAAA